UCCGGGGGUCCCGCGCCCGCCGGCGCUCGCUGCCCUGCCCCGCGCCGCGCUCGUUUGUUGGGGUUUUAUUCUGGAGCCCGUCGGGCGGCUCCGACCCCUCGGAGCUCGUUCCAGGGAUCCCCGCGGGCUGCGCGCGUUGGCACGGAACGCACCUGCUGAUGGGGGAGCGGGGAGGGCCCGGGAUGGGGUCGUGGGACCGCCGGCUCUCUGGAGUCUGGGACCCGAGAUUAGGGCGGACCCGAGUUAAUAAGGUUGCCACCGCUCCUCCCGGCCCCGCGCGGGUACCUGAUGCUUCCCGAGCGGCGGGGGCCGUUCUGGCGUUGGCGGGACUGCGGCGGAGGCGGGCCCUUUGAGCCCCCCGGACUGCGCGCACACUGCCACCAGUAGCCAGCCAGCCGGACACCACUGCGCGGGUCCCACCCGGUUCAGAAUUUGACAUUUCAGCCUGGCUUCCCAGGGUGAUCUGGGGAGUAAGAACUUGACAGCGUGUCCUUAAAUCACGGGAUUGCAGACAUGGAGCUACUUCUCCGGAGCCCUUGGGAAAGGACUGGAAAGCAGAAUUAGCCUAGCAGGGCAGAGGGGCGGAAAAUCCGCAGUGCUGGGAACCAGACGUUUCCUCAUCUUGCUAGAGACGCUGAGUCCUGUGUACAGCCUCUGACACUGACCUUCACAUUCAACAGUCAAGCAAUUCCAACAAAAAUGACAAGCCUCUCUAGGGAACCAAUUCUGGAAGCUGCUGGGCUUCAGGAAUGAGGCCAUUCUCCAUUCAGCAGCCAGAGUUAUCCUGUCAUCUCCAAUGAGACCAAGCCACUCCCCUGUUUACAGCCUCCCAGCCGGCCAAGGCUCCUUCUCCAAGCUCCUGUCCGCCCUCCGCCCAGCCGGGCUCCCCCAUGCUGCCCGUCCCCAGGCCUCUGCUCAGAUGGCCCUUUCUCCGCCUCUCAUUCUUCCUGCACCUUCUCAUCAACCCCGGGCACUCCCAGCCCCCCACCUCCCACUCGGCACCAGCUCUGUGGCGUCGAGUACUAACCUCAGUGUUCUGAGUGAUAACCUGACUCAUAGCAGGUCAUCAGUGAAUGUGUUUGGAAAGGAUGGAUAUUGUCUUGAAUAGAUGACAAGGAGAGAAAAGUUCUGGAGUAGAGAGUGAGGAACAGUGCAAAACAAGGAGCACGUGUGUGUGUGACUCUACAUGGGCCUUCACCACAGCCCCAACACACAGUACUCUCCUUUCCCCUGACUUCCAGCCUGUCCUGGUUAUCAACCAGGGUGCAGUAGCCAAUCCAUGAUCAGAGCUCUCCAGCAGGGAGAACUGCCGCAGACCCGGGCCCCAGCAACCCCACACUCCUAUUUCUGGCACAACUUACCUUACCUACCCUAUUUUGGUCCUGUUAACUGAAACUGAGUUGGAGAGAGAAACCAAAACCAGACACCAGGAGCUACGGGGGUCUGGAGAGAGGUACCCAGUGGGCAGGGAGCCUGCCUGACAACGGCUGGCCCGGGUGUGAUCCGCGGCACCCCAUAUGACAUCCUGAGUCCUGCCAGGAGUCAACCCUAAACACAGUCAGGUGUGGCCCCAAACCUCUUCCCCCCAAAGAAAGGAUCUCAGAUUUUAUUAAUAAUGUCACUAUAAGGGUUUUCUUCCCUCCUUCCCCUUUUUAGAAAAGAUUGUAUUAAUUAAUAAUUAUCUUUUCUCCUAUUUGUUCCACUAUUUUUUUUUAAUUUGCCCUCUGUUGAAACAAUCACCUCCUACUAUUACUUAGUAAUUGCUUAGUAAUUUAUUUUACCUCCCCUAUUGGCUGACAUUUUAGCUAAACUUCCUUGUUUUAUUUUUCUAAGUGUCCAUUCUGAUGUAUCCUUAAUUUAUCACAGUCUGCCUUGAACCAGCAUACGAGUUUAAACCAGUAUAAUCGUCCUUUCACCCCCCUCCACUUAUACUUUGUUCUACUAAUCUCAUAUAGUUUAUUCCUUGAGUACUUAAUAAAGUAUAUCACUGGC